AUUUGAGAAAAAAAUGUAAGUUCUGCCUUAAACUUAUGUGCGCUUAAAAACACUCAACUAAGCUUAAGAGUCAUUCAAAUAAGGAACAGCCUAUUUGAUACAGGAUACAACCUAAGAUCUUGGGUAAAGCAACUACACUAUAUGACCAAGUCAGCCUGAAAGCAGCUAUCUUUUAAAAAGCGUCAAAGCUUCAUCAUAUAAAACUAAUAAUACCUACAACCUAGCUAAACCCACCACCACUAUCAAAUAACUUCAUAUUAUUAUGUAAGAUAUUAUGUUAGAACUAGUAAUAAGAAUAAGAAAUUCUCUAAAAUAUAAGUGUAACACAGAACGAACUGUUGCUGUUAAUUACUGCAUCUGAACAAAAAGUAGUACCUCACCAAGAAAACUCUACUAAAUUAAGCAUUAAACUUACACAAGUAUAUUUCUAGAAAGAUUAAAAGAAAGGGAAGGAACUCGGCAAAUCCUAAGCCUCGCCUGUUUACCAAAAACAUCGCCUCUUGCUAAAUUAUAAGAGGUCCCGCCUGCCCUGUGACUUAGUUUAACGGCCGCGGUACCUUAACCGUGCAAAGGUAGCACAAUCAAUCGUCCUCUAAAUAGGGACUAGUAUGAAUGGCACCACGAAGGCAUAACUGUCUCCCCCCUCUAAUCAAUGAAACUGAUUUUCUCGUGAAGAAGCGAGAAUAUAAUUAUAAGACGAGAAGACCCCAUGGAGCUUUAAACCCAUCACCACCUGCCCACUAUACACCAAAAACUCAGCAGCUCUGUUCUCAUGAUGGUUUUCGGCUGGGGUGGCCUUGGAGUAAAACAAACCCUCCAAACUGAACGGAAUAAACCCCUAAUUAUAGAACUACUAUUCAAAAACUCAAAACUUUGACAUAAUUGACCCAAUAAAUUGAUCAACGAACCAAGUUACCCUGGGGAUAACAGCGCAAUCCAUUUCAAGAGCCCCUAUCGACAAAUGGGUUUACGACCUCGAUGUUGGAUCGGGGUAUCCUAGCGGCGCAGCCGUUGCUAAAGGUUCGUUUGUUCAACGAUUAAUAACCCC
rnacentral:rRNA from 1 species